GGCCCCAUCGUCUAACGGCUAGGACGGCGCUCUUUCAAGGCGCAAACCGGGGUUCGAUUCCCCGUGGGGCCG
rnacentral:tRNA from 1 species